rnacentral:rRNA from 1 species
UACGGGGGGGGCAAGCGUUGUUCGGAAUUACUGGGCGUAAAGGGCGCGUAGGCGGCCAACUAAGUCGGAUGUGAAAUCCCCAGGCUCAACCUGGGAACUGCAUCCGAUACUGGAUGGCUUGAAUUCGGGAGAGGGAUGCAGAAUUCCAGGUGUAGCGGUGAAAUGCGUAGAUAUCUGGAGGAAUACCGGUGGCGAAGGCGGCAUCCUGGACCGACAUUGACGCUGAGGAGCGAAAGCCAGGGGAGCAAACGGG